UACAGAGGGGGCAAGCGUUGUUCGGAAUUACUGGGCGUAAAGGGCGCGUAGGCGGCCAACUAAGUCCGACGUGAAAUCCCAAGGCUUAACCUUGGAACUGCGUCGGAUACUGGUUGGCUUGAAUUCGGGAGAGGGAUGCAGAAUUCCAGGUGUAGCGGUGAGAUGCGUAGAUAUCUGGAGGAAUACCGGUGGCGAAGGCGGCAUCCUGGACCGACAUUGACGCUGAUGAGCGAAAGCUAGGGGAGCAAACGGG
rnacentral:rRNA from 1 species